AGAGCGAACGCUGGCGGCAGGCCUAACACAUGCAAGUCGAGCGCCCCGCAAGGGGAGCGGCAGACGGGAGAGUAACACGUGGGAACGUACCCUUCAGUUCGGAACAACCCAGGGAAACUUGGGCUAAUACCGAAUACGUCCGUAAGGAGAAAGAUUUAUCGCUGAAGGAUCGGCCCGCGUCUGAUUAGCUUGUUGGUGAGGUAACGGCUCACCAAGGCGACGAUCAGUAGCUGGUCUGAGAGGAUGAUCAGCCUCACUGGGACUGAGACACGGCCCAGACUCCUACGGGAGGCAGCAGUGGGGAAUAUUGGACAAUGGGCGCAAGCCUGAUCCAGCCAUGCCGCGUGGUGAUGAAGGCCCUAGGGUUGUAAAGCCCUUUCGGCGGGAAGAUAAUGACGGUACCCGCAGAAGAAGCCCGGCUAACUUCGUGCCAGCAGCCGC
rnacentral:rRNA from 1 species